AUGUAGUGGGUUUGACCCCCACUACUCUCAAUUCAUUUUUCUUUGCUAAUUGUAGUGGUGCGCCACUGACCAGUGGGCCACAGGGCCCACCUGUCAUGCACUAGGGGCCCUGGUGUCUAUGACCAGUGGGGCCCCAUGUUAGUUUGUGUUUGUUUUACUUGGUGCUAGGAGCCUUUCCAUCUUAGGUAUUAGUUCAUUUAGGGAAAAGGCCAGAUUUGGCAUAUUCCAUAUAGCUAGAGUGAUGUUCUUUUGGGCUGCUUCAUAGGUAAAUAUGGUAGUGGCUGAACCCCUCUACAACUUGGUACAUAUUUGUUGUUCAUAGGUUUUUGCAUGUUAUUAUUACACCUUGUCAAAGUGGGCACUUGAGUGAAAAUGACAGUGUUGAGAAAAACUGUGAAUUUCACUAAAGUCUGUGAUAUUUUGUCCAAGUUAGAGGCUGUAUAUC
rnacentral:lncRNA from 1 species